AGAAAAUUGUAACUGUUUUCCACUUAACAAAUAUUUUAUAUAUGCAUAUAUUUUUUGAAUCAUGUUAUCUUGUGAUACUAAUUCCUUAUUAUCUUUACUGUGAUUUACAUAUAGGCAUCAAAUAUCACCCAAGAAACAUGUAGUCGUUUGGAGCCUAUAUUUUUACAAAUUAAAGAAAAAAAUGAGAUAUUAAGUACAGUCAACGAAAUGUGCAGACAAUUUGAACCUAAAUUUUUAAACAUUAUAAAGAAUUUAAUGAUACAAAAUAAGAAAAAUGAAGACAAUAGUGAGUACAGAGAAUUACUGAUAAAAAAUAAAGAGUUAAGAGAUAAGAUAGUUGAUAAAGAAAUAAUCAUACAACGGUUGUCUGAUGAAGUGAAAGAGUUAAAGAGAAACCGCGAUUGGGAAGCUACAUCAUGUGAGAUAAUCAAGGACAUGCAAGUAAAUUCUAACAUACCACAAGUUUCUACUCCUUUUCAUGCGAAUACGAAGAUAAAAGAGAUUUUUGUUAUAAAUCAAAACUCUUUAGUGAAGCGUGUCAAAGAGCAGGGUAGAAAGAGGAUUCCUUCAAAAGUCUUAUAAUCUCCAUACACUGAAUGUAAAACCAAAGGUAAAAGUAUAUGUGAAACUCCUGGAAUCCAAUCACAUAUGGAAAAGAGUGAUGAUUAUAUGUUAUCCUAAGAAGAGGUGAAUGCAAUUACGACUCUUAAAACUCAGAAUAAAAUCAAGUAAGAUGCUUUAAGUAUUUAAUUUUUAUUUCACCCACUUAUUUUUUUAAUCUUUUUGUACUAAUACGAUAACAUAUGUCCUUAGGGAUGAAACAUUUGGCCCACUUCGUGUCGAAAGGAGAUCCUUAGAGUCAUUAUUGAAUCCAAUGAAAUGGGUAGAUGAUGAGGUAUAAUUUAAAUGUUAUAUUAC